ensembl:processed_transcript metastasis associated gene 2
GAUGUCACCUGAAUCUAGUAGCGCGCAGCAUGGAGCGCGAGUCGCGACCCCGGGUCCCCACGGCGGCGCGCGUCCCACGGGACACGAGGGUUGUGUGGCGGGAUAGGAAUUCAACAUUCAAGGUGGGAUUUUUUUUUUUUUUAAGACAAGGGCGGCUCCCGGAAGGAUGUGCUCGGUUGGAAGGUGAGGCAAGUGGACGACGGGUGGCGAGUGCGUGUUACUCUGCACCCCUGCGCCCGUCUAGGGUACUGCAUGCGCCCCACCAACCCGACUCCUACGCAGCCGGUGGCACGGCCCGCAGGGUUCCCCCAGCGGAUGGUUCGCUCCGCCCCGCCUACAGAGGCAAUGAUCAGGCGGCUUCUGCUGGUUUCAAGACUCCCGCGUCCGACUCACUGGAGACCUUGCCAGGCCUUGGCCUUCCGAACCUCUUAAGGGUUGGGGGCAGUGGUCUUUAGUGCUGCUCCCUGGCGCUCACAUAGACGCAGCCUUGGGUCGGGCUAGUCUCUGGGACACCGGCCAGCCUCCGCCUUCAGAGCUGCGCGAGCGUUGUCUAUCAUGGUACACAGACUGGAAUGAGCUUGUUCUUAACCUCAGCUUCACUGUCCUCCUCCCCCACAGAGACUAUUCCAGGAUGCGCGACAGACACACAAGACACUCGGUGAGGGUUAAAGAUCUUUAAAUAAGGAGCCAGUGACAAUAAAUAAUACUGUACAGGGG